GUAGGUGUAGCUCAGUUGGUUAGAGCCCUUGACUGUGGCUCAAGGUGUCGCGAGUUCGAUUCUCGUCACCUACCCCA
rnacentral:tRNA from 1 species